rnacentral:rRNA from 1 species
GUGAGGAAUAUUGGACAAUGGGCGAGAGCCUGAUCCAGCCAUGCCGCGUGCAGGAAGAAGGCCCUAUGGGUUGUAAACUGCUUUUUUACGGGAAGAAACACCCCCUCGUGAGGGGGCUUGACGGUACCGUACGAAUAAGGACCGGCUAACUCCGUGCCAGCAGCCGCGGUAAUACGGAGGGUCCGAGCGUUAUCCGGAAUCAUUGGGUUUAAAGGGUCCGUAGGCGGGCGUCUAAGUCAGUGGUGAAAUUCUGCAGCUCAACUGUAGAACUGCCAUUGAUACUGGUCGCCUUGAAUCGUUGUGAAGUGGCUAGAAUAUGUAGUGUAGCGGUGAAAUGCUUAGAUAUUACAUAGAAUACCGAUUGCGAAGGCAGGUCACUAACAACGUAUUGACGCUGAUGGACGAAAGCGUGGGGAGCGAACAGGAUUAGAUACCCUAGUAGUCC